UCGCGUCGCGUCUAGCCCGUACUCGCCUACUCCCCCGUCCACUACCCCCGUGACCAAGCUGCCCCAUCCACCAAGCCGGACGCAGUUCAAAUUUCGAAUCUCAUCAGGCAGACGCAGCUCCAUCCACCGGCGGAACCACGCCCUCCCCAUUGCAGCACCUGGAUCUCGAGAUUUCCUUACGAUUCGUCGAUGAAUCGCGAUGGGGAGUCAUUUUCAUGGAUCUCAUGUUCAGCUUCUGUUCCCAGCCGGUCGAUGUCGAUGCGGUUCCAGAUCUGGGAGGACUAGAGGAAGGGCAGGGCGGCGACGAGUGCGGGGAUGGAGGGGAAGAUGAAGAUACUGAUUCUCCUUCCUCAAGUUCUGCAUCUCAAGUUCAUGAAGCCACGGACGAAUUUUUCAAUGUCCCAGAUAUUGACAGCACCGACAGUCACAAAGAGCCCCAAUCUUAAUCCGGGUGCACUCCAAGUCCGUGACCUCAAAGGGUCCGACUUGGGAAGAUAUCCGACUGCCGCGCCUCAUUAUCGGGAAGGAAAAGUGCUUUGGGGAAAGCCAUGAGAAAUUAUGCAGAUAAGAAGUCAGGAUGAAUCAGCAACAAGGAGAUGAUGACAUCAGGAAGACAAUUCAGCUCUUUUCUGAUCUGAAAGGGAAGAAUCCAAAUUUUGUUGAUAGUGUGCUUGUGGAUGAAGAGAGCAAAACCAGAGCACUGAUGUGGACAGAUGGUAAGAGCCUCCACCAGUACAAAUUCUUCGGAGACGCAAUAACCUUGACACAACAUAUCGUACCAACCAGUACGACAUGCCAUUCGGAUUUUUUGUUGGUGUCUACAAUCACUUCCAGAGCAUCAUAUUUGGGGGAGUAUUGCUUCGCGAUGAAACUACGAAGACCUUUGAGUGGGUGUUCAAGGAAUUUGUGUCCUUGAUGGGAGGGAAGGCUCCAAGAACAAUACUGACAGACCAAGCCCGUGCAAUGGAGAAGGCUAUAUCCUCCCAGUGGCCUGAUACCACACACAGAUGGUGCAAAUGGCAUGUCCUGCAAAAAGCAAGAUAAAUACCUACUCCGGAAGUUUGUUCGGUGUCUUCCAAUGAAAAUAUUAUGUUGGAGAUAGCACUGGCCACAGAAUAUGUUUUUAUGCCUGGCUUGUGUUUUUUUGGUAGCGAAUGUCUCGAUGCGCUGUUAAGAAAUAUGAAGAUUUAUGUAUCCAGGGAACAAGUAGGAUCAUUUUAUGCCUGGCUUGUGUUUUUUUGGUAGCGAAUGUCUCGAUGCGCUGUUAAGACAUGUAAAAUUGGCAAGUUACAAGGACGUGUAAAGUUUUGCCAUUGUACUGAUGUGAGUACAAAGUGCAAUCGAAAUUCCUACUAGGUUGUUCA